rnacentral:rRNA from 1 species
UACGUAGGUGGCAAGCGUUGUCCGGAAUUAUUGGGCGUAAAGCGCGCGCAGGCGGUCUUUUAAGUCUGAUGUGAAAGCCCCCGGCUCAACUGGGGAGGGUCAUUCGAUACUGAUCGACUCGAAGGCAGGAGAGGGUAGUGGAAUUCCCGGUGUAGUGGUGAAAUGCGUAGAUAUCGGGAGGAACACCAGUGGCGAAGGCGACUACCUGGCCUGUUCUUGACGCUGAGGCGCGAAAGCUAGGGGAGCAAACGGG